ensembl:lncRNA
ACAUCAGUGUAUAGAAACCUGAAGUUCCUGGCUUCCUGCUGGGAAAGAGGCUUGGGGUUCUCAUGAAAGUGAUUCUGCCAGUAUAGAACUCUGGCCCGAGAAGCUGUAGGGAGGUUUGUCAACCCAGAAGAAAGAUGAGGGGAUCAUGUAUGAAGCAGCGGGGGGUGGGAGAAUAGCCCAUCAUUCAGCUUCAGCUAAAGUAGGAGGAGUGGGUGAGUCACUCUCUCUAAUGACUUAUCCUGGUGUUUUUCUUUCUAAAGACUUGAUGCUGGAGAGUCUAAGUGACGAGGAGACUCAUCCAGGUAGGGAACUACGUGCCAGGAAAAACCCAAUGGGAAAAGGUUCCCAGGAGCCUCCAGGUUAUCCCUGCUGCUUGUGAGGAGGGGCUGAAGGAGGGGGUAUGAAAUCAGAAAGAAAAUGGAAAUAUGUGUGAGGUCUGGCUUGUUGUUUUCAGUUUCUUGGCAUCAUGGUAAGAACUGUCUCUAUGGGCUUUGGGGGUGCCACGUUCAUGAGAGAUUCUCUUUGCAGUCCACCUGCUCUUUUCUGCCUGUGGAACAUGAGAGCCUUUGGUUUGGAUUAGUCAGCACUCCUAGGGAUUGUGCACAAGGUGUAGGCUUAAGCGCCGCAGGUGUCAUCUGUGAUGGAAGGACUCCUGGGGGACACAGCUCUCUCACAGGCAUUUCCUGGAACCUAGAGAAACAGUUCUUCUGCUGUGUGCCAAGGGGAAAUCAAGAGUCACCCUCUGAACUUUCAGGACUUGUUAGUGCAUGUUCAUGUGUCUGUCCUCACUGUCGUUCCUGGUCUAGGGAUCUCCUGGGGUGGAUGGCCCGAGGUGAAUGCCUCCGCAGCUGGGCUCCACUGGUAAAACUCAGUGCUUUGGAGGAGAAGAAUGUUUGACCUUGAGGCAUAUUCCAGCCUCCACUUUGGCAGUCACAGAUUCUGGGAUGGGGUUUCUUUCUCCCCAGUUCUCUAAUUUUUGGAGAAGCCAAUAGUUCCUUCCCACAAAAGAUAGUAUCACACUAUUUCCUAUCUUCAAAACUUUGGCUUUGGUUUUGUUCUCUAAGUUGAUAUUCAUCACUUAAGUUCUAGACUUUUUCCUUUUUUCUUUUUUUUUUUUUCUAGGGAUAGUGCAAGCUCUGUGAGACUGGAGUGCAGUGGUGUGAUCUCAGCUCACUGCCACCUCUGCCUCCUGGGUUCGCGCCAUUCUUCUGCCCCAGCCUCUUCAGUAGCUGGGACUACAGAGGCGCCCACCACCACGCUUGGCUAAUUUUUUUGUAUUUUUGAUAGAGACAGGGUUUCACCAUGUUGGUCAGGCUGGUCACGCACUCCUGACCUCAGGCAAUCUGCACACCUCAGCCUCCCAAAGUGCUCAGAUUAUAGGCAUGAGCCACUGUACCUGGCCAGAGUUACUUUUAAUAUAAUUUUGACUAUCUCAAGUAAUGGUGCUUUGAUAUUUUUGUCAAUGGUUUUGGAAUAGCACCAACCGCAUCUGUGGGAGUAGACUCUUAGAGGGGCAUAUCUUUCAUUAUGCAUAAAUAAUGCCAAACUUUUUCCAAAAUAGUGAGCGCAAUUCAUGCUCCUCCUAUUUAUCCUUAUGUGAAUAGCCAUUUCUCCAAAUCCUCAUGGACUCUUAGUUUAUCUCUUUCUAAAAAUUCCAUCACUGUGGUUAGUCUGUCAUUUGUAUAACAUAUUACUUAAAAUCUUUACCAAAAGAAAUGUUGUUUGACUCUAAUGAUGCAAGCGCCAGUAGGUUUAUUUUACACCGCCUCACCACGAACCG